GUAACAUUACAGCUUGUUUCUCCCUGAUGUUGAACAUCUGUCCUGUAGGGUAACAUUACAGCUUGUUUCUUGUUUAAUAGUGGACCAGUUUCAGAGAUUGUUGUUCCAUCAGACAUGAAGACUUGGAGACACAGUCCAGGGUG